rnacentral:lncRNA from 1 species
AGCGCGCGGUGGGGUUGGGAGGAGGGGUGUAGGAGCUGGGUGUGAAGGCCAGGUGCUUAUAGAGCAGGCGGGUCUCAUAGGGAUGGAGAUAAAGAUACGAGAGCCCGUGAUUUUUUUCACCAAAGUUUGUGGGGAAACUCAAAAUUAGACAGGGGAUAUAGCGUCCCUGUGCGCCCCAGCAGAGAACGUUUGGGCAUUGCUGGAGAGGGGGAGGAAAAACCCUUAUUAGAAAGCAGUAUUCAGCUGAGGAGUCGUUAUCCGCCAAUAAAUACUCCUCUGGGGUGGCUAUUGGGGCAUGCCAGCUCCCCCCACUCCAUCCCUGACUGUCUGUCUGUCUGUCUGUCUGGGCGCAGUGCUCGGCGAGCUGCGGGGAAGGCGUCCAGCAGCGGCAGGUGGUAUGCAAAGGCAGCGAGAGUGGUGGGCGCUGCGAGGGGGACAAGCCGGAGGCCGUCCAGGGUUGCCACGUGGCCCUCUGUCCGGGAAACCUCUCCGGCAUCACCGCCAGCGCCGACGCCGACGACCACGGCACACCCAAAGGGCAGCGGGUGCCCCAGGACGGGGCCAAAAACCCCGUUAGCAAGAUCUCCUCCAGGGAGCCUUGCCUUGGGGACAAGUCCAUCUUCUGCCAGAUGGAGGUCCUGGCUCGCUACUGCUCCAUCCCCGGCUACAACAAGCUCUGCUGCGAAUCCUGCGGCAAGAAAGCCUCCUCCACCACCGGCUCGCCCCCCGCCACCGGCCCCAGCGCUCCCCCGGGAACCACCGCUCCCAGCCCCGCUCCGCCGCUCUCCCCCAAUCCCACCGUCCCUGCACGGGGGGGACCCGGUGGGGACCCCACGCCAGCACCUCGAGCCGGGCCGGUUGCCGGUGGAGGAGGGUUGCCCGGCAGCGGUGUUUUCCCCGGGGGGCUGCCAACCCUGAGGGAGCCGGGCAGGGGCCAGGCAGCCAGGUAACCCACUCGGGACCACCUCGCCGUGGGGCGGGGGAAGCCUUUCACCUCCCUCCCUUCCUCCCUUUCCUCCUCCUCCUCCCACUCUUUUUCCUCUCCUCUCCACUUCCAGUGAUGGUUUUCAUGGGUGGCGCUGCCAGGUUUGGAAAUGACCUGGCUCACCCAGAAAUUCCCGAGAAAACCACUUUUUUCUCAUCAUCUCCCCCACCCUCCCAUUUGUGGCGUGGGGUUUUUUUUGACAGUGCCACAGAAAAAAAGGUGAAAAGGAGNNNNNNNNNNNNNNNNNNAAGGUGCUAAAAAAAAGAUUUCGGGGGGGGGGGCUUUAAUGUUGUUUUUUCCUUCCCCAUGCCCCCGAGAUGUGCUGGAGAGGAGGGUCCUGGCUCGGGGUUCAGCCCCAGUGCUCGGAGCUUGGGAGUAGCAAUGGGAGGGUGCUGCGAAUUUGGGGGGACAAGCAACUGGAGGGAGGUGGUGAGAUGGGGAGGGGGAAAUGUCAGGAAAUGCCCAAACUGCUGCCCUGCACUGUCUCUGUUGGGGUAGAGGGUUUGGGAAGCAAGUCUGGGGGAAGGAUGGAGCGUGAAAACCAAUAGACCAGCUUCUGUCCUGCAUCGCAGGAUAGGCAGGAGAUGUUCCAGGCAACUUUAACGUGAGCAAUAAGAGCAAGGUCAAAGACCAAAUAUACAUGUAAAAAAAUGCCUGUCACCCGGCGGUGACUUUUUAGCCAAUACUGCCCUUGGCCAGCCUUGAGCUGAUACUGGUGCGCAGCCUCCCCAGGACCACCAGCCUCAUCCCUGCACCCUUGUACCCAGUGCCUGUGGGGCAUCAACUCCUUUCAGAGGGAAAUGGGGACGACUGGGAAGCCAGGAAUGGAUUUUAGGGGCAGUUACAAAGAAAGGAGAGAGGAAGAUUGAUGUGCGUCCUUUUUGUCGCUUGGGAGGGGCUGAAAGGGAGACGAUUAACGCCGUUAAAAAAUAUUGUGCCAAGUACUAAACGUAUGCACAGCACUUUAGGAGCCUAGGGCUGCGUGCAGCUUGCUUGGUGUCAGGCCAGCUCUGGGCACAGGGUCUGCCUGGAGGAGUUACGGUCCUCAAAACCUCCCCAGAGCGGGGUCAGGCAGCCUGCCGUGUCCCCGAGGGGGCUGCCGCGGUUUCGGUGCUUAGGGCUGUGCAGCAGGACGGGGCAUCUCGAGGGGCACUGCUCGAGCUCUUCAGGUGUCCAGGGCUUGCUGGCGAGGCAGCCGGGGGUGCUCAGCACGUUGGUUUUAGGGCACGCUGCUGUUCGAUGCUGGUGCUUUCAGUGCCGGGGCAGAGCGCUGCAGCGGUAGCGCUUGUGUGGCUGCAAGAAACUUGAGGUCGGGGCAUCUCGGAGGAGCUCACGUCGGUGUGCGAGCUCCCCUCAGCCUUUGCUGGUCCGGCGUGGAUUGCAGCAGGGGAGAGGUUGAGGUACGCGCUUUAAUUGAACCGAAUGGAGACCCCUGUGCUUUCCUGAUGUUUUAAGCAUUGGACUCCCUCUGCAAUGCUCCCCUGGAGCUACCCAACAGUACAGAAAGGGCUUGAAGAGAUGUUAAGAGGGCAGUUUGUGCACCCUCCUGCCCCCGGAUCGCCUUCAAGCCAAGGCUGGACGAGGAGCGUUUAUGGAACUACUCUUAAAAGCACCUGAGGCUGGAGGUCCCCUGCCCUUUGGCAUUAAGUGGGCUUCACGAAAGAUGAAACAAAGCCACGCGUCUGUCUGAGCCAAGCAACCAGCACACCUCGUGGGAGCAGACAGACGGAGGGAUGCCUAUGAAACGCUGCGGCGGGGUGCCCAGGUCCGAGGCGUUGCUGGUAUCGGUACCCACAGGAUUGACGAGACGCUCUGGAUGUCCCAGGGUGGGAUUCAGCCCUCGGACUGCUGGCACUGCCGCCGUGCCCCUUGCCAGCCUGUCCACCAGUACCGCCCUCCGCGGGAGUGCCAGCAUUUAUUUAUUGUGCCAAAGAUAACGCUUUGUUUACUCUUCAAGGAGCAUCUUUCCCCUGCGGUGCGGUGCAGGGUGUGCCGCAGCCUUCUCCUGCUGCCGGGACAGCCCUGGGCUGGCUCGGGGCAGGACUGAGCUUGCUUUGCCUUUCCCUGCCCCAAGCAAGUCUUUUCUCCAGCGUUCAGCCCCCUGCCCUGUAGCCUUGGAGGCAUUGAAUAAGAACACACCCCCCCCCCAUCAAAAAUGGGCUGUAAUGUCUCCAGGGCGCAGUAGAUGUGCGUGCAUGCGUGCGUGCUCGCUCCUUCCUCCCAAAUUCUCAUCUGCACCCCUCCUUUCAGUCCUGGGUGGGCGUUAGUGCUUUGUUGCGUUAGGAAUAUUUGCAGUGGUUCCUUGCUACACCUCGGAGGAGAGCGGUGGCUCAGGACUGGCCCAGUCCCCUCGCACCCCACAGCCGGGGUGCCCGGGGGGGGCUUCGGGGCAAGGGGGCUGCGCUGCAGGUGCUAACCCCUGCCUCUAGCCAAGAGAGGCGGGCGAGAUUUAAAGCAAGGUGCGAUAACCCCCCCCCUCCUUUGCCACAUGUGGAUGCUCUGGGGCGGUGAUGCUGCAGGGUUGGGACCCAGCACCGGGUAUUUAUUCCAGGCGAGCGCAAGAAGCGCCUAGGGCGGGCUGAGGUUGGGCGGCUUCUCGCCGUACGGAUGCCACGGUGCGUGGAAAGCUGCGGCGUGGGGAUGUAACGCUGUGACAGCCCAGCUCCCAGCAGGGAUUUGGCCCUGUCUUUGGGAGGAGGGGGUGCGUCUGGUCCCCCCCCCCAUCCUCCUGAGCCAGGCAGACGCACCAAGUCAUUCCUGUGAUGUAACCUUGUUCAGUGUUACAAUGAUGUAUAAAGUUUUGUACAUACGAGAUUCAGAGCUUUUUAACUUUUAAUAUUUAUUAAUUUUGUUGGGUUCUCUUUUUUUUUUUUU